GCGCGUGUGAUGCAAUUGGCAGACAUCGGGGCCUCAAAAGUCCCGUUCUUGUGGGUUCGAGGCCCACUGCGCGCA
rnacentral:tRNA from 1 species